rnacentral:tRNA from 1 species
GCCCCAGAAGCCCGACGGCCGGGCAGCCGCCUCUAAAGCGGCCCGAAGCGGGUUCGACUCCUGCCUGGGGCGCC